GCCUGUGGGGCCUCUGAGACACCCCCCCCCACACACACACACCCCGGGAUCCAACCCCAUCCUGGUUGUCCUGGGGGUUUGGAUUCAACCAGAGAAGGCCUCGGAGAUGAGCCAUGGAUGGAGCCCCUCUGCUGGGAGGACAGGCUGAAUCAAGCUUCUUGAGUUCCAGGGCCAUUUUUGCUGCCAGGACAGGUCGUGAUGAUGACAACCUUACGUUACGAGGACCAUAAGUCAGAUGGCUGCAGGAUGCACUUGAGGAGAUGUACUUUCAAGAAGUUCAUCUUUAUGAUGCUGCUAAAACUUGCAUGUCAAGAAAGCGAGUGGAUGUCUUCUGAGUAGUAUUUCUCCAGGGACAGGAGGACCAAACAGUUUUCCAGCAUUGCUGAGCGUAUGAUAAGUUUCACUUCCUGGAGUCUGGGCAUACUGGAGAACGUUAGAAAAAUCAGCGAGGGAACCACAACUCAACAGAAGGUGGAUGGCCAUGAUGUCCUGGGCACUGUGCCCAUGUGCUUUGGGUCCCCAGGAGAGGGGGGCAGCUGGAGAUGGCAUGGGGACAAGCCUGGCACCCAGCAGAGCUUCAGCAGUUGGCUCUUGAUAUUCAGGGUCCUGCCGAGCCACAGCUCCUGCUGUCACCCCAGACCUGUCCCCCUGCUCAGGUUGUCCCUUCUCAAGUCCUUUAAUUGGGGAGUGCGCGUAUUAUUAUUAUUUAAAUUCGGAAAGAAAACCUGAGAAGCCUGAACCCGCCCUCUGGGGUGAACAGAAAUGCAGCUCGGCUUUUAACGAGGUUCUUUAAUCAAGUAAAUUCCUUCAGCCGUGAUGGGGAUAAGAGCGGAGCAGUCGGGGAAGGCAGAGAGUUAAAAUCACUCAGCUGGUGUGAAGUGAGCUGUGAGGAACAGGUCCCAACAGGCCCCCACAGAAGUAAUUCUUUCUCCAGGCUUAAUCUUCCAUCUCAGUUUACAAUUAAGCACAUAAUCCUUCUUGCUUUAAUAUUUCUACCUCGCUCUGCGGCUUCUCUUUGUUCCACCAAAGCAGCAAAAAAAAAAGGGUAAGACUGGAGUAAGAGGUUCAGGUGCGCGUGGACCUUGUGGGUCCCUCUUCUCUUCUUGAAGGAGGUCCACUUCUGGAAGUCACAGCGGGGCUUGGGAUGGGAUUGAAUAGGUCCAGGACUAACCUCCUCGAUUCCAUAUCCAAAACCAGCUGAAGAAAUGAAUCCCAAAAAUUUUUGGUGAGACAUCCUUUUGGAGAACAUUGAGGAAAUUAGGACUUCGCUUUCCCUGCAGAUGUUGGAAAUACGGUCCUCCUGAGGGUUUUAAAUGCCUUUGAAAGGACUGGAGUUGAGUAGGAGAGUGCUGGAGGUCCAAAAAAUGAGCUACUCCUUUAUGGGUGAGCAGCAGGAUGUGUCCCCCCUGAGACUCCCCAAGGUCCUUGUGUGGGAUUUACGGGUAGCAGUGGUUGUCCCCAGAGUCACUUUGCUGCCGCGGCGGGGACGGCCCUGAAGCAGUAGAGCUCCUUUUGUCUUUCAAAAGAGCAAAGUGAACCAAGAGGCAGAACUUCAGCUACGUCAGCUGGCCUACACCUGCAGAUGCAUUUGAUAUACCCCAUAUUCCUUCCAUAGUGCCUACACCUUCAAACAAUAGAUUUAUGAAACUAUUUUACAACCAAUAUGGACAGAAGUUUAGAGCAUUACCCGCUUUUUUUUUUUUUUAUCGACUGUAAAGUCAUUACGCAAAUCUAUCACCUAAAAUAUGAGCGCCGUGGAAAGAACUUGAUACUCCUAAAGCAGCCUUUAUAAAAAAGCUUUAUUGGAUUUUAAUUUGUA